AUUUAGUAGUAGCUAGGGAGAGACAUUGCAUGAUAGCUACACCAAAGAGCAACCUCGGCUCCUUGUGUGGCUUUGAUGCACUGCCUCUUCCCUGGCUGCGGCCAAGUUA
rnacentral:pre_miRNA from 1 species